rnacentral:tRNA from 1 species
ACCUGGGUGGCUUAGUUGGUUAAGUGUCUGACUUCAGCUCAGGUCAUGAUCUCACAGUUCGUGGGUUGGAUCCCCGCGUCAGGCU